CUUCCACGCGCACGCGCCCCCUGCUGCCCUCGCUCCUCAGCCCCGGCAAUCCCCUGAGCUAGGUGAACUCGCGGGAACUGCGGGAUGCUGGGGGUGCGUCAUGCUGGACUCGCCCUCUCUCCUGAAAGGAAUCUGGGAACAGAAAAACCAAGUCAUUUGCUCUGGGUCACCCUGUUACUGAGUUGGAGAACUGUGAUUUGAACCCAGAUCUCUGGCUUAUAACCAAAUGCCUUUUCCACUGCAUGAUUUUCCAUCUCCCCUACUUAUUGCAAACGCUGAACUACCAUGUAAAGAUAUCCAGCUACCCUACUGGGGACAUCAUCAAAAGAGAGAGAGAUGUCCAUCCACGUCUAACUGUUCCAGUUAUCCCAACUGAGGGCCAGAUAUGUCAUUGAAGGUAUCUUGGACAUUAAAGCCCCAACUAUUUUAGUGCUACAAUUGAACACAGCUUCCAACUGAUCCAUCAGCUGAAUGUAGCCAAGGGAAUGAUCCUGGAUGAUUCCACAUGAUAAAGAAGAACUGCUCAUCUGAAUGCUCUCUGAAUUCUUGAACAAAUAUGGUGGUUGUUGCUUUAAGUCACUAAUUUGCAAGCCGUUUGUUAUGCAGGAUAAAGCAACCUGGUGUAUGCGGGAUAAAACAACCACCUCUGUAAGAGUUUUGUCUUGAUCUAAACCCCACAAAAAUGGCACUAAGCCAAUGGACAUAACUUAUAUAUUGGACCAAUAAGUGUUUUCUUCACCAUCCAACUGGCUAAAGAUAUGUGAAGACUGAGAAAAGAACCAUAAUGUUGAACCCAAAGACACUCUGCAAGGACUUACUGUUGUUUGGAUUUGAGUGAAUAAGAUGGUCUCUAACUGUCUCAAACUUAGGUCUUACACAAUUGAAAGGAAGAAAGGAAUGGCUAUAAAAUACCCUUUUCUUUUUGAUGUGCAAAAAUCAUGGAACAUCAGCCGUAUUACAAUUUUUUUUCAAAAAGGAAGGAUGGGGUAUUAAAUAAUAUAGAAUAGAGAAAGACUUGUAAGGACAAAAAUAAAUACAGUUGUACAUAUUUUGGGAACCAUGAUCAUGUGUACUUUCAUCUCUAGUAUUCCCACUAUUAUCCUGAUAAAAUACUACACAAUCCUAUAUUCUUAGCUGUGGUGGUGGUUGUUAUCAUCAACACCAUUAUCAUCAUCCAUUUCAGGAAGAAGGACCUAAGUGGGAGGUAAUGAACUCAAAGGGAAAAGAUAAGGAUAUAGUGAGGAGGACAGCAAAGGAAAAAGAGAGAGGGUGGAGAAAGAAAUGAAAUAAUAAAAACUCUUUGUCAAGAUUGAGAGAAAUAAGGGAAGUAAGGAUCACAAAAAUAAUACAAUGGCAUAUUAUUUGCAAAGCAAUUUACUAUUUAUAAAGAACAUUAAUUUAUGUUAUCUAAUUUAAUCUUUUUAACACUCACUAAUGGUGUAUUGUUAUCUGCAUUACACAGAUGAGGAAAUAUGGAUAGGACUGAAAGAAUACAACCUCAUCAUUCUUUCUUUUCUAUUAAAAAUAUUUACUGAGUGCACACUUUGUGCCAGUCACUAUGCUAAGUUCUGGCAAUAUAAUUGUUAGUAAAACAAACAUGCCAUCUAGCCUUUUAACUUAAAGUCUAGUAGAGGAGGAAAACAUUAUUCAAAUAAUCACACAAACAGCUAUAAAAUUACAACAAGUGAAAGGAACAUGGUAUUAUGAAAAUAGAGAAUAAAAAGUUUUGAUCUAGUCAGAUAGUUCUGAUUACAGGUUUUUACACAAAUUGAACAGUUACCUUGCUUGAAUCUUAUUAAUAUAUUUCAUCCACAUAUGGUUGUACAUUAAGCAAUCAUAAUCAUUUCAAACCACUCUUAUGUAUUUUUAAGUUAGUUUUCCAAGAAAGAAUAAAGUGAAAACUUGGCUUUAUUUUUAUACAUAGCACCAUGUACCACAACAAUGCAAUUGUUUAUUGGAUCAGGAUUCUGUACUCUGUAACCUUUGGUCAAAAACUGGCUAACAUGGUCACUUGAGCAGGGAGGAGGGACCCCAUUCUAGACAUGAGAAUUUAACCAUCACCUACUUGCCCAGUUUGGAAAGUAUCACUCACAGCCUGUCAGCCAGAAGAUGAUUAAAGUCUGCGCCUCUAAUCCCUAGGGUUUCUCCCUUUUUUUAGACUUCUCAGAGAAAAUGUUAGCUUUAUGCACUACCCACCAGAUAGAAGAGAAUGUGAUCAGAUAAGAAUUGUACUCACAAACUUCGGCUCUAGAAGAAAAGUACACAAUGCAACCACUGAACAUCCAGGAGUACUUCUAUUCUAAGGACAUAAAACCAUCUUCUCAAAUAACUCUAAAUGGUUUCAGAUUGUUAAAUCAUUCAUCCUUCUAAGAGCCCACAGCCAAGGUUGAUAACAAUAAUCAGGAAACUAAAAUACAGAGUUGAAUUGAUGUACUCUGUGUCUCCCAAACUGAAUAGGAACCAGACUUGUGAAGCUCCUUUUUCUCAGUAUAGACACUCUACAACAGCUUCUAAAUGAAAUGGACCCUGUUGACCUUUUCUAGAAAUAUACAUUUUACCCUAAGUGCUAAUUAAUCUAUUUAAUCAUUGGUUUCUCUUCCCUCCACAUUUAAUUUGGGAAUCUUAGAUAUCUUUUGUUGGCUUUGAUCAUUACCCAUACUUGGAGUUUGGGCAUUUUUUAAUAAUUCAUUUUAUAUUAUAUUCAUAAACAUUUCACACGUGAUAAUAUUUGGACUUAAAUUUUAACAUUUUGGUCCAUUCUGUAAUAGCUUGUCUUAUAUUCUUCUGGUUUCUCUCUAGUAAAUUUUAGAUGUCUUACAUUUACUGAUUUCUUCUUUAAUUAUUUUGUGGUCAGAAAAUAUACUUUGUAUGAUUUGUUUCCUUUAUUGGUGAACAUACCAUGUACAUUUGAAAAUAGUGUGUAGUCUGUAGUUCUCAGGGACAUCAUUUAAGUCCAGGUGGUUGAUAGUAUCAUUCAUAUCAUUUAUGUCUUUAUUGAAUUUUGCCUAGAUCUUCUAUCAAAUGCUGGGGAAAGGGUGGUGAUGUCUCUAACUAGGACAAUGAAAUUGGCUAGGUGUCCCUUUAAUUCUGUCAAUUUUUGCUUCAUAUAUUUAUGAUUGUUAUUUCUUAUGCAUUAAACUUUUACCAUUAUGAAAUGUUC